rnacentral:lncRNA from 1 species
AUUAAGAUAAAUAUAUAGGAAAAUGGAAAAGCAGAAAUUCUGAUGUUUUGCUUUUGAUUUUGCCAAGUUAAGUCAAUUCCAGGAGUCCUCUUUUCAGAAAGAUAAAUAAAUGCUGAAGACUUAUUUCCAACCAAUACAUGGAUGGCUGCCAAUGAGAAAAGCAAGCAGCAGAAAGUAUCAGCAAAGUAACUUGGCACUGGAUAAACCAGAAAGAGAAAAACCAAGAUCUCUUAGUAUGUGUUUUAUUCAAAAUAAGAUCUGUUUUUGUUUUGUUUUUUGUUUUUCCACCUGGGUAAGGCUAUCUUUAUUUUUCAUCAGGGAAGUUUGGGCACACAGACCUGAAAAGCAGAUGUGCUUUAGUAGGACAGGUAGAGGGAAGCAGCAGAAUGUGAGGAGGCUGCAGACCAUGCCAAGGUGGAGGAGGAGCCUAACAUGGAUUGGUGGGGGCUAUGCUCCAUGCAUUCAUUUAAGGAAUGAGGCUCCUCUGUCAGGUACUCCACCACCUCUAAGGCAGGUAAAACUCUUUUUUCUUUUUUAUUUUUUUUUAAGAUUUUAUUUAUUUGUUCACGAGAGACAGAGAGAGAGAUAG